rnacentral:lncRNA from 1 species
AUGUCACAAAGAUUACCAGAAGGCGAGCACAGCAGACGGACUAGAGCGGGUAAUUUAAAUACGUGUGCAGUUGCAACGCAAGAAACUAAUGCAGCGACUAACACUGCCACUCGAGGACGAGGAACAUCAGGUGAAGCGCUUCAAGAAAGGCGAACUAGUUUAAGAUUAAAUCGGAAUGCUGCAGCCGAGCGUAGCUACCCAGCUUUGCAGCUGCUAAGUGAGUCUGAGCAACCAGUACGUAAUUCUUUCGCUACUAAAGCAAAUAUUUCUGAUUUUUACCAACCAGAUGCCCAACCAAGUGCAACGCAGCCGACGCCAGACAAGCAAACCAAACAGCAGUGAUCCGGGGCCUCCAGCGACCUGAAACGAAAAGAAAAUAAAUUAAAGUUGAAGCGCAGAUGUUCUCAGUUUACACUCCUAUCUUGUAACUCCCGUUUCAACUCAAAUCGUCAUAAUCCUAACACUUGAAUUCAAAGUAAUUUAUUCAUAGAGCUGAAUCGAAUCUUCUAAGGUGUCUCUGCAUCUCAUGUGAUCCUUUUUUUACUAAAUAUCAUGAAGCCUAAGAUUUAGAUCCCUAUUGAAAGUCAAACUUGAAUGAGAUAAUGAAAUCAUGACCUUGAAAUAUUCAACUUUGCUGAAUAGACCACUUAAUUUGAAGGAGUAGUUGAAAGAUUUAUUUCUCAAGUUUUGUUUUUUUGUUUCUCCCUCAUUUUAUUUUUACUUUAAGGUGUGUAGUUUGAUUCACAUUCCUUCAAUUGUGAAAUGAAGGGCCGUAGUUCUAUCAUCAAUUGGAUGCCAUGAUAUUGUGUCAAGAUCAAAGAUUUGAGUUCAAUUGGCACUCCUUUAAAUUCUCAUUGCUCAGCCAAAAAUUUCACUGUGAGUCGAAUGCAAAUCAUCAUUUCCGAAGAUAUUCAUGCUGUGAAAAUAUGUUACUCAUAGCAGUCGCAUUUAUUGUAUGUUUUAACUCUUUUUACAUGCUAUAAUUGUAGUGCAUGACCUCUUAUCUCUCUCUGUCCUUUUUUCAUCAGGGUUUUGAGUCGUACCUAGGUCUCAAGCGUUUUAUUUUUCUCUGGUUUCAUCUCGAAGCCUUAAACUGAACAGACAUUUAGAGUACAUUUUGAAAUGAGGAACCACUAUCUCUGUCUCAUCCGCAAAAGCACUAUUUGCGUGAAGAAACUAAUUGCACAUUUGUUGUCUCUUAAAUGAGUCAGGAUUUGUAGUUUUGUAUUGUAAAAUGGAUUCCAAUGCAAUGAAGUAUUGCGUUUUAAAUAUUGAAGUUUCCUGUAGUUUGCUCGUCGAUACAAAGAAAGAAAAAAUGUAUGAACCGUAAAGUAACAAAAAAGGAAACACAUCAAAGUGGAAACCAAGGUAACGAACUACGAGCUAAUUAAUGAAACAAAGCAAACUGGAAAAUGGAAAAACUCAAAACUCACAUUUAAAUUAAAACUGCCGACGCGUUUUGCGACUCCCCAGCUCCUUUUUCAAGGCUGAAUUCCAAUUGCUGCAGUCAGAAUUUAUUCUUGAGGAAGGGACUGGGGAGCCGCAAAACGUGUCAAGAGGUUUUAAUUUAAUUUUGUAAACCGGAGUUUUUUCAUUUUCUCGUCAUAUUCAUUUCAAAGAAAAAAUGUGUUAGUUUCUCUAGUGUCUAGAGGUUGACCCAAUUAUUGCAAGCCAGAAUACACCUUUUUUCUUGUUUUCCCAUCCUUGUAAUUGUUUUUUCUCUUGCCAUAAAUCGGAGAAUGACUAGUAAUAGUUUGCUUAGCUUUUCGACUUUCUAGAAUUUCAUCUUAUCUAAUUGAAGGCAAACUAAUCCAAAAAAUGGCAGUGUAGUAUGAUCUUGAGGUAUAUUUUGUUCCGAUCCGCAUCUUAUAUCCGAUUAUCGAGUGAAGAAUUUAAGAAGAGUCUUUUUGAUCUCUACAGACACCUAGUUCAUCGAAAUUAUUGACCUAAAUUAUUUCCUCUGAUAAGUUGUGAGGGAAGACUCAGCUUUUCUUACAAUCCCAACACCCACUAUCUCUUCUUCAGUUUUCAGAUUUGUUGAAUGAGCUACCUAUACGGAGAAAAUCGUGCUAGGCCUUUGUUUUCUUUUCAAGGAACUACUUUGUCUUUCAGUUUUCUUCCUCCUUGAAGGAUCCCUAGUUUCCCUCCUUACUCUCUUCAAAUGAGAUUUCAGUGCGUAUAGAGGUGCAAUUCUCUUUUUGUUGAAUAAUACUAUAUUGUUAUACUAAUUUUUUCUGGUUAUAUCGUAAUGUAAUGUGUAAUUGUGUUUAUCUUGUAGGAAAAUUGUCGUAAAGGGUUCUGCUGUAGAAACUCUGUACAUAAGUUUAUAUAUUUUUCAAUUAUUGUGAAUUUGUGUGAUUUAACGAGCAGUCAGUAAGUGAAUUUCUAACCAAGAAAUAACAGCAUUACCUUACUUGGAAUGUGCUCGGUUUUGAAUUUAAUAGGAAACUGUAGGGGAAACAAUUUCAAUGGCUUUAAGUAUGUAGGUAAAAUUAUUCUGCCAAUAUCAAUAGUUGGUGAAACAAAGUAGUGAGAUUAUCCUUGACUGUACCAAGUUUGCCAAACUAUUUUGCCCAAAAUUCUACUAAUAUUUGCCCUUGCUGAUGAAGCAUUACAAAGAUGUAGUAUUUCUGCUUUUUAUUUGUAUUUAUUUAUUCAUCAAUUUUUUAAGUCUUUAAAUCAUGCUAUAGAAAGUAAUGUUCUCAGAUUGUGCGUUCACUCAUAUAUUUUGAUGCCCCGUCCCCUUCUGCCGUACAUUUGCUUCCACAUUGUGACAUGUUAAUUAAGUGUAGCUCAUGUUCGAUCUCAAUUGAUACCCCCCCCCCCCUUUCUUUUCCCCUCCCGCUGCUCUACCAUCAUUUAUAGAAAGAUGUAAACGUAUAAACAGUAAGUGGAUAAAUUACAAAGGAGUUUAAAUUUUGAGGAUGUAAAACUUGAGUAAAUAAUUUCCAAAUUCAAGAGUUUCCUUUUUGAUCAUUCAAUGAAGUAAAAUCCUCAGACUUGGCAUAUUCAGACAUUUUGAAAUUCAUCUAUUUCUCCUGUUUUUUUUUAUCUGCAUUUUUCAUAUUUCUUUGUCACUGCCGGUUUUGGCCGUAUAAAUUACUCGCUCAACAAUUUGAUCAUGAACUGUAAUGGUGUAGGGUCAAUUACUUUGACCUAGCUCAACCUAUUAAUCUUGAAAGAAAAAUUUGCAGACAAAUCCUCAAGUGUGAACUCAUUUUGGAUAGGCCUCAGAAAAUGGAGGACAGCAAAUUUACAGCUUUCAUGAAAAGUAUUUUCAUAGUGUAUAGCUUUUUCACUCUAAAUUAGGUUGAAAGAUUCUAGGUAAGGUUACUUUUAAAUAGUAGAGAGACUAGAAAAAAUUUCUAGAGCAAAAUAUUUAAAUGUGCCUGAACGGUCUUCUUGAUUUCAUCAGUUGAUGCUGCUGUAUCCUUUUCUGUCUAGCAUCUCAUCAAUUGGCUCCCACUCAUAGUACCUGAAUAAAAAUGGCUCCUCUGAAUUGACGCAGUCUUAAAUAGGAUCCAAAAUUCCUUGAAAAGUAGUCAGAAUCAGUCUAUUUUCGAAGUUGAUCUUUCUGUUUGAAAUUUCUACAUGAUAAUUUAUCUUGUUGAUUGAGAUCCCCUAAAAUAAUCGAAGUCACAGGAAAGAAGAAAUGAGACAUCAAGACCCUCAAAAUGAAAUUUAAAAUUUUAACUACCCCUCCUCCCUCCCCCUUUUUUUUUUAAAAAUGAUAGCUGUAAGAGCCAAGUAUUGAUUUACGUAUGUUUUCAUUGAUUUUUUUACUUUCUUGUUAGGAUUGCACUUUAUUUCACGACAUUGCCAUUGCAGUGUUGCUUCGACUUUUGUCAAAUGUUGGCCGAUUUUAAGUCAUCCUGUAAAAUUUGACCUCCUUUGCUUGGAAACCAAAUAAAACUUUGAAAUUGCAUAUGCAUGUGUAUGUUGCUGUCUUUUGUCCAUGUGCGACUGACCGAUUCCUUUAAUUUCUCUUCCUAACAGCUUAUUCAAUCCACAAGAUCUGUAAAAAUGAUUCUCUUAGUGCUUCUCAUGUCGCCAUCAUUUUUAUCAGAGUUGAUUGGUCUAAUAUACUUUGCUUCUUUGCAGAAGAUUCGCUCGAAAGAUCUUUUUUGUAGCUGUAACUUCCGAAACUUCUUGAGAAGCUAUUCCUUAGAAUUAGGAAACUAGAUGAGAAAUAGUUUCUAGCUGAUGUUUUAACAUACUCUGAUCUCACAUAUAUAAGAAGCUGUCUAAAUUGUUUACCCUUUUUUUGUUCUUUACAAAUAUUUCAAUAAAGUACAUUUCAUAUGGUGGUCCGAACACCAAAAACAGAAUUUCUCUUUACUUAAGAUAAAGAGAACUAAUUUAAUUUGUGUAAGGAAAGAAUGAAAGAAAGGAAUUUUUUAAUGUAACAUUGUCUCAGCAUGCCUAUGCUUUAAAUCUUUUAACCUCUGGAUCAAAUGAAUCCUCGCUUAACUGACAGUCGUAGGAAAAUUUCCAAUUUUUUCAUUCCCAAGAAUCAAUGCAAUAACACUUCCCAAGAAUUCAGAAUUAUUUGCUGUCUCAAAAUCAGCAGAAAGUAACGCUAGUGCGGAGGAUGGAUUCAGAUUGCAAUGACGAUGUUUUCUCCAAGUAUGGCAUCUCCUUUCUACUGAAUGAGAAUUUAUGUAAAUUUCUACAAAACACUUAAAAUCACCAACCAAUCUUUUGAUCUCACAAAAGAGAAAGAUGGUUGCUUUGUUUCCAUUCUCUUGAGUGAUUAUCGCAUACUUUUUACGUGUCGGAAUGGCUAUGUAUGUUUGAGUCGGAAUGUGUUAGAUUAUAGAUUGUUCAAAAUUUCAUUUCAUAGGAAAUCUUUUCAUUGCUUUCCUCUUUCAUUUGCCUAUUUGCCUCCAAAAUUGAACUUGCAUCUAAACAUGGGUACAAAUGCAAUCAAAAUUGUCGCUUUAAGAUAUGCCUCUUUUCUGAAUUAUCCAGUAAUCUGAAUAACACUGAGAGAGAUAAGGGUGAAUACUUACUGUACGUUAGUUUAAUCACAAGUUCCUCUUUUCUUUCUCAUGUAAUUUUCUUUCCUCCUCGGUCGGAUAUCAUUCUGAACAUUUCUC